CAGCGGCAGUGGGAGCCACAGGACUGGAGUCCUCUGCAAGAGACAAAGUCCUCACGCCUAGAACCUGUUGACUGACCCAGUGGUCUUGGUCAGGUUCCCCCAUUCAAGGACUGGAAAAAAGCACAAAGCCUGCCUGCAUACCAUGUCAAGUCUGGAGAAUUUGCCAGUCAGUUCCACCGACUAGCUCCAGGUCCUGGCAGAAGAUGGCUUUCCAUACCUCAGAUCCGAGCUUACUGCUCCCUAUCCCAAUGGGCCAGGACCACAGUGAGGUUCCUGCCUCUUGACCAUGACCUGUGGCUGCUCUGCAGCUAGUAGUUGAUAUCUGAAAUGACUCAAGUGAAAUGGAUGUGGAGUCAACAAACAGCAGGAGCCACCUGUCUGUGGAAGAGCAACGAGACUUUUAAUACCACUGCGCUAACAGGAGAAUUCAGACUCCACGUACAGAUAAUGCUGGACUACCCCUGCCACUCCCAAAUUUAGCUCCCAGCCAGGGAACCAUGUCUCACAAGGAGGAGCUCUUAGUCAACAUGCACUGCAAAAGACUUAAAAAUUUCAGUUUUGGGAUGUGAUAAUCGAUGAACCUGGCAUCGACCCCACUGGCAGUUACCAUGGCGACAGUGACUUGCAGCUGGAGAGGAUCAGUGUGUACUACAAUGAAGCUGCUGGUAAGGGUUUGGAUGUCAGUCUUGCUUUCCAUACUGUCGCAGAUGAAGCAGCCUACCAGCACGCAGAUAAGAAGAUGCUUUUUGCACACUCAUUUAAAAUGCCAGUCCCAACAAGAAAAAGCACUUUGAGUUCCUGAAGACCUCUGCAUUCCUUGUGUCUCCAUUUUCUUUUUCCUCCUUUGUCUCAAUGCU
rnacentral:lncRNA from 1 species